rnacentral:lncRNA from 1 species
UGAACUAUUUACCUGCAAACCUACUGUGACGUGUCAUAAAAGAAAUAAAAUCUAACCACGUUGACUACUUACAUGCAAAUCUACAAAAAAAAUCAAACCCUGCAGGAUCUCUGAUGUGAUGCCAUGCCAUGCCACCAAUGUGGGUAGGCUGGCUGAAAGACGGACCAGCAGAAGAGGUUGACUUGGAAUUUAUUGAGCAUGUGCCGCCGCCCACGUGGUUUCAUUUCAUCAGCAUGGUUUGUGGUUCCGGGCUUGGCACCGUAAAGAAGAAAAAAAAAGGAGUUUGGUGAAAUCACUGCCCCAGGAAAACCUUCCAGGCGCAAAAAUCCUCCAUGUUGACCGACCAGCCGUUUAUUUGGGCUUAUUCACCACUCGUGGUCAAGACUCAAUAGGAAGGAGGGCAUAUGUGUCUUCAGAAUAAUUCCUGGACCACCGGUAGACCGAUAAAGGCCCUGUACUGACCGUGCUCUCACCAUGGUGGUAGCUCAUGAGCACCAAUCUGUCAUUUGUUCUAUCAACUCUGGGCAAUGAUUGAUUGGUUGGUUU